UAGGGAAUCUUCGGCAAUGGGGGCAACCCUGACCGAGCAACGCCGCGUGAGUGAAGAAGGUUUUCGGAUCGUAAAGCUCUGUUGUAAGAGAAGAACGUGUGUGAGAGUGGAAAGUUCACACAGUGACGGUAACUUACCAGAAAGGGACGGCUAACUACGUGCCAGCAGCCGCGGUAAUACGUAGGUCCCGAGCGUUGUCCGGAUUUAUUGGGCGUAAAGCGAGCGCAGGCGGUUUAAUAAGUCUGAAGUUAAAGGCAGUGGCUUAACCAUUGUUCGCUUUGGAAACUGUUAAACUUGAGUGCAGAAGGGGAGAGUGGAAUUCCAUGUGUAGCGGUGAAAUGCGUAGAUAUAUGGAGGAACACCGGUGGCGAAAGCGGGUCUCUGGUCUGUAACUGACGCUGAGGCUCGAAAGCGUGGGGAGCAGACAGG
rnacentral:rRNA from 1 species